CAGUAGCCGCGGGAAGACAGAGGAUGCAAGCGUUAUCCGGAAUGAUUGGGCGUAAAGCGUCUGUAGGUGGCUUUUCAAGUCCGCCGUCAAAUCCCAGGGCUCAACCCUGGACAGGCGGUGGAAACUACCAAGCUGGAGUACGGUAGGGGCAGAGGGAAUUCCAUGUGUAGCGGUGAAAUGCGUAGAUAUAUGGAGGAACACCGGUGGCGAAAGCGGCUCUCUGGCUUGUAACUGACGCUGAGGCUCGAAAGCGUGGGGAGCAAACAGAAUUAGAUACCCCAGUAGUCCCUGUCUCUUAUAC
rnacentral:rRNA from 1 species